CUGAACCCAGGGUGAGGCUUGCUCGCCGAAUAUUAGUCCCCUGGUGAAGAAAUCUUCAAUGCUGAAGUUGAGGCCUACUCCAGCGGUGAGUGGAGCGGACGGCCGCCGCCCCGCUAUCCUGCUGAACAGUGUCCAACCUGGGGCUUAAACCCUCGAGGAACCGGCUCCUUUCCCCCCCUCUGGACCGGCGGGUGAUCCCGAUCCUCACCCUGAAGCCCCGACCACUACGACUGAGACUAAGGCCUAGCAGCACUACCAGUUGCAGACUCUAAGAUGGCGGAGACCGCGCGCCUAACCCCAAGAUCUGAGUGCAUGAAAGAUGUCCACCCCACAAACGCAGCUACC